UGGAUGCCUUGGCAUAAAGAGGCGAUGAAAGACGUGGCACUCUGCGAUAAGCUACGGGGAGGUGAGAGCAACCUUUGAUCCGUAGAUCUCUGAAUGGGGCAACCCGGCGCUUUAGCGUCAUCGUUAACUGAAUACAUAGGUUAACGAAGCAAACCCGGCGAAGUGAAACAUCUCAGUAGCCGGAGGAAAGGACAUCAACCGAGACUCCGUUAGUAGUGGCGAGCGAACGCGGACCAGGCCAGUGCCUGAUUGUAAAUUAGCAGAACAUUCUGGAAAGUUUGACCAUAGUGGGUGACAGUCCCGUAUGCGAAAAUGAUCAAUCAGGACUCGAGUAGGGCGGAACACGUGAAAUCCUGUCUGAACAUGGGGGGACCACCCUCCAAGCCUAAAUACUCGUAUGUGACCGAUAGCGAACAAGUACCGUGAGGGAAAGGUGAAAAGCACCCCGACGAGGGGAGUGAAACAGACCCUGAAACUGGACGCCUACAAGCAGUCGGAGGGCGAAAGCCUGACGGCGUACCUUUUGUAUAAUGGGUCAGCGACUU
rnacentral:rRNA from 1 species